rnacentral:rRNA from 1 species
GAUGAACGCUGGCGGCGUGCCUAAUACAUGCAAGUCGAGCGAACGGACGAGAAGCUUGCUUUUCUGAUGUUAGCGGCGGACGGGUGAGUAACACGUGGAUAACCUACCUAUAAGACUGGGAUAACUUCGGGAAACCGGAGCUAAUACCGGAUAAUAUUUUGAACCGCAUGGUUCAAAAGUGAAAGACGGUCUUGCUGUCACUUAUAGAUGGAUCCGCGCUGCAUUAGCUAGUUGGUAAGGUAACGGCUUACCAAGGCAACGAUGCAUAGCCGACCUGAGAGGGUGGUCAGCCACACUGGGAGUGAGACACGGUCCAGACGCCUACGGGAGGCAGCAGUAGGGAAUCUUCCGGAAUGGGCGGAGGCCAGACGGAGCAACGCGGCGGGAGGGAGGAGGGUCGUCGGGUGGUAAAAGUCUGUUAUUAGGUAAGAAAAUAUGUGUAAGUAACUGGGAACAUCAUGACGGUACCUAAUCAGAGAAGCACGGCUAACUUCGUG